rnacentral:tRNA from 1 species
GUAGCUCAAAGGAAAGAGCUUCUCCCCGCUAAGUAUAAAGUUCCCGGUUCGAGUCCGGGCGGGGACGCCA